AGAGAGAAAGCAAACUCACGGUCUUCUUCUCCUUCCUUCCUUUGUUUUCCAAAACAAAAACUAAAACCAUAAAACACAAACCCUCAUUUAUUUACUAGAUCUAAGCUUCCAUUCGAGAAGUGAGAGAAGAGGAAGUUGCUCAUUGCCACGCUGCGGUGCUAGUGAGCUAGUUUUCGAUGCGACGUCACGAACUUAAAUUUUACCGGAAUUAAUUACGGUACCGUAAUCGCGCGUUAGAGCUAUCAUUAAGGUAAUGACUCCUUCCAAACUUUUAGUUUGCAUUUAGGACAUUAUUUGUGAUUUUGUGGAAAAGAAAUUUGAUGUAUUUGAGGUGUGAUUUUGUGAAAAAUUAAUUUAAUGUGAUUAUGUGUUAU
rnacentral:lncRNA from 1 species